UACGUAGGGGGCAAGCGUUGUCCGGAUUUAUUGGCGUAAAGAGCGUGUAGGCGGCCAUACAGGUCAGCUGUGAAAACUCGAGGCUCAACCUCGAGACGUCGGUUGAAACCGUAUGGCUAGAGUCCGGAAGAGGAGAGUGGAAUUCCCGGUGUAGCGGUGAAAUGCGCAGAUAUCGGGAAGAACACCCGUGGCGAAGGCGGCUCUCUGGGACGGUACUGACGCUGAGACGCGAAAGCGUGGGGAGCGAACAGG
rnacentral:rRNA from 1 species